GUUUGUCUUUUGCCGGGACUGCAAAGAACCAUACCACGAAGGCGAAUGCAACGCCCCGACUGACGCCGCAGGAGCAGUGACUCAGGCCUACAGAGUUGAUGAGAAGGCAGCCGAGCAGGCUCGGUGGGACAAAGCCUCCAAAGAGACAAUCAAGAGAACCACCAAGCCCUGUCCCCGUUGCCAUGUGCCGGUUGAAAAAAAUGGAGGCUGCAUGC